UCUCAGCACCUUUGCUAAAGCAAUUGGAUACUGUCACGUUUAGUUGAGACUGGGCCACCGAGUCUCCAUAGAAAUCUCCGCGGAUCUCACCAGAUUUGACCCAUAGAGGAUGAGAAUUAGAAUAUUGUACAGAAGGUGGGAAAUCUUAGCUACAGUAGCUGUCUCAGAAAACUUUUUGACCCAAACAAUCAUCAGAAGAAACAAAUGCCUUGAAAGUAGUCCUUGUGGUUUGUACAUGGUAAGCACAUCCGAAUCUCCAGGCUAACAAGAACAGUUCCUUAUAGGCUGACAUUCAUUUUCCAGGCCUAA
rnacentral:lncRNA from 1 species